GCCGGGUGUGGUGGUGCAUGCCUGUAAUCCCAGCUACUUGGGAGGCUGAGGCAGGAGAAUCACUUGAACCUGGGAGGCAGAGGUUGCAGUGAGCUGAGAUUGCGCCACUGCACUCCAGCCUGGGUGACAGAGCGAGACUCUGUCUCAA
rfam:Homo sapiens chromosome 6, GRCh38 reference primary assembly.